CUGAAGGCACGUGUUUUAGCAACGCCGUGAGGGCGCUGCUGUUAGCCCUUUAAAAGGGAGCAGGUUUCCCGAGAACGGGAGUUGAGUUUCCAACAGUUAUACGGGCUGGAGGCCACGACUUAUUCUACUGAAGCUUUUUAGGGGAGAGGAAGGCACCGAUGCGCCUUCCCAGCUCCUGGCAGCAGCGCAAGUGGCACGAGACGUAUCUUCGUCUUGGGGCACGGUCGUGAGCAGAGAGCAGCUCCUAGACGCUCAGAGAGCGGACGGCCUUUGUCAGCGGGUGUCUCAAUGGUUAGCUGAGCAGGACUCGGCAGGCACCGGAACGACUGACGGACGGCACGACUCCUAUCUGCUGGGCGAGGAUGGCAUCCUGUUCAGAUACAUACCCCAGGCGGAUGACGAUGACGGCUCAUCCCCAUUCAGAGUCGUGGUGCCACGGAAGUUGCGUAAGUCUUUCAUACGUUACUUUCAUGAUUCGGCCUUGGCAGGUCACAGCGGUGGCAGGAAAACUUAUGAAAAGUUAUGUCGUGUUGCGACAUGGCCAGGAAUGAGGCAGGAUGUAACAAAGUAUGUUCGUACUUGUCCCGUAUGCCAGAGAGCAAAACCUCGUGGUGGUCCACCCCCUGGGCGCUUACAGCCUAUUCAGAGUAAUAGGCCCUGGCAGAUAGUUGCUUGUGAUGUGAUGGGACCGUUUCCACGUAGUCCUAGAGGUAACCAGUAUUUGUUUGUGGUUACUGAUCAUUUCACGAAAUGGGUUGAGCUGUUUCCUCUCAGGACGCUGACUUCCAGAGAGUGUGGGAAAGACUACUCGACACCUUUUGCCGGUUCAGGUUUCCUGCUCAGCUCAUCACAGAUAACGCUACCUACUUUACAAGUAAGGUGUUCUCAGAUUCUUGCGCUGUCUUAGGCAUUCGGCACAAGAAGACUUCCCCAUAUCACCCUCAGGCUAACAUUACCGAACGUGUUAAUCGGAACCUGAAAAUGAUGUUCGUUGCUUUCACUAGUCAGCACCACCGUGAUUGGGAUCUUCUCCUGGCUGAACUGGCGUUCGCUACACGGACAACAGUAAACAGAUCUACAGGCUUCACCCCGGCGUUCCUGAACUUAGGACGAGAGGCACCUUUUCCAGUGGAGAAUGCUCUACGCCUCCGGGAUGACAGCACCCAGCCUCCUUAUUCAAGGUUCGCUGAGGAACUCCGGAGUCGACUAGACGAUGCAGCUCGGACGGCUCGGGAGAAUCUGGACGUCGCACGGUUGGAUCAGGCUCGCCAGUACAACCGAGGACGACGGAACCUCACCUACAGCGUCGGUGACCUCGUCCUUCGACGGACUCACCCGCUAAGUGAUGCGUCACGAGGCUUUGCAGCCUCACUUGCAGAUAGGUGGGAUGGCCCCUUCGAGGUAAGUGGGUGCUCCUCCGGCCUCACUUACAGGCUUCGUCGCUGUGACACGGGCGAAGCAACUGGGCCAGUGCACAUCUCGGACCUGAAACCUUACCACCUCCGAGACCCCGAGAGCGGAGACUCUGACCUUCCGCCCCCUCAACACCUGGACCAGGAUCCCGCUACCGGACCAGCUUCCAGUCGCUACAACUUGCGUCCCCGCAGGCGGCGCACGUAGUAGCCACUAUCUCGGUCACUAUGACCUAGUGCUCACGAGUUAUGUGAUAUUAGUGUGAUUUCUGUUUCGCAGUUUUCCACAAAGUCAUUUUAGGGGAGAGCCCUUUCGAGCUCUCACGAUGUGGAGAUAACCUCUCACCGUAUUCCCUUUUUCUCCUCUCGGCAGACACCAUGCCGCGACCCUGCCGACAGAGGACGGGCAAGCCCCGACCCCCCCGCCAAGAGACAGGAGGUCGCCCACGACCCAGGGCAUCCCCGGAGAGGACGUCUCCGCAGCAGCAGCAGCGAUCGGCGGCCACGUGGAUCGUCGUCCACAACGCACGGCCAGUAGGAUGGGCAUCGCACACCAGAUGGGCGGCUCAGGUCCGGCCCCUCCGCGGCACCAGCCCUUCGCGGAUACCCCUGCCCUUCCGAGGGUUAACCCUCACCGACAGGCAUCCUCAGGACCCGCCCAUCCCAUUGACCGCAGAAGAAGAGCGCCUCCUGUGUCCCGUAUGUCGGGUGCCAGAAGUGCACCGGAGCACCCACUUGCGAGGCGCCCUCCACCGCUCCAGGAUCACUGCCCCACGCACCGCCGGGUCAGACGUAGAUGCGGCCCUCGCAACCCUCAGGCGCCUCCGUCCAGACCUCCUUCGACAAGGCCCUCCACCGCCUCCCCCUGAACUCGAGCCUAGCCCGGAGGACAUCAUCCUCGAAAUGCCAUCCGACGAUGACCUUUGAGCGAAGAGAAGGCAAGGAAGCAAGUUGGCGACGUGGAAUCAUUCGUUUAUUUAUGUUAUACUAAUUUUCCAUUAAUACAGCGUUGUUUCGCUUAGUGUGUGCCAGUUGCACAGAACAGUUAUGCGAUUUGAACACUUUUCAGUGAACCAUGUGAACAUUUUGUGAACUUUUAUCUUAUAACCCCAGAGUCAUGUUUCUGGGUGGGGGAGUGUUGUGAGUUUGUUUACAUGUGUGAAAAUGCAUUUCGAGGCCGUGCGAUAACGGGAUAGAUAACGUUUCUGAAGGCACGUGUUUUAGCAACGCCGUGAGGGCGCUGCUGUUAGCCCUUUAAAAGGGAGCAGGCUUCCCGAGAACGGGAGUUGAGUUUCCAACGGUUGUACGGGCUGGAGGCCACGACUUAUUCUACUGAAGGUAAUAAACCUUUCUGUUCUGUUGUUCA